GCCUAACACAUGCAAGUCGAGCGGUAGCACAGGGAGCUUGCUCCUGGGUGACGAGCGGCGGACGGGUGAGUAAUGUCUGGGAAACUGCCUGAUGGAGGGGGAUAACUACUGGAAACGGUAGCUAAUACCGCAUAACGUCGCAAGACCAAAGAGGGGGACCUUCGGGCCUCUUGCCAUCAGAUGUGCCCAGAUGGGAUUAGCUAGUAGGUGGGGUAAUGGCUCACCUAGGCGACGAUCCCUAGCUGGUCUGAGAGGAUGACCAGCCACACUGGAACUGAGACACGGUCCAGACUCCUACGGGAGGCAGCAGUGGGGAAUAUUGCACAAUGGGCGCAAGCCUGAUGCAGCCAUGCCGCGUGUAUGAAGAAGGCCUUCGGGUUGUAAAGUACUUUCAGCGAGGAGGAAGGCAUAAAGCUUAAUACGCUUUGUGAUUGACGUUACUCGCAGAAGAAGCACCGGCUAACUCCGUGCCAGCAGCCGCGGUAAUACGGAGGGUGCAAGCGUUAAUCGGAAUUACUGGGCGUAAAGCGCACGCAGGCGGUUUGUUAAGUCAGAUGUGAAAUCCCCGGGCUCAACCUGGGAACUGCAUUUGAAACUGGCAAGCUUGAGUCUUGUAGAGGGGGGUAGAAUUCCAGGUGUAGCGGUGAAAUGCGUAGAGAUCUGGAGGAAUACCGGUGGCGAAGGCGGCCCCCUGGACAAA
rnacentral:rRNA from 1 species